GUUUACAUUGUCUUACUAUUUAUUGAGUGAAUUUCUGGUCAUUGCCUAUGCAAAUAUAAGAAAUCUGGCUUUAAAUAUUAGUCAGUUUCAUGGCUAUGACUAGAUUGUUUUCUUGUAUAACUAAAUACCUGUAUAAAAUGAACUAAUGUUUUCUCUCCCCUCCCUACCCCUUCCCUAUGAACAAUGCUUUAGGUAUAUUGAAAUCUUUAAGAGCAGUAGAGCUGAAGUUAGAACUCACUAUGAUCCACCACGAAAGCUUAUGGCCAUGCAGCGGCCAGGUCCUUAUGACAGACCUGGGGCUGGUAGAGGGUAUAACAGCAUUGGCAGAGGAGCUGGCUUUGAGAGGAUGAGGCGUGGUGCUUAUGGUGGAGGCUAUGGAGGCUAUGAUGAUUACAAUGGCUAUAAUGAUGGCUAUGGAUUUGGGUCAGAUAGAUUUGGAAGAGGUAAGGUAAGAAUUGAAUUUCUCAGUUGAAGGAUGCUUACACUCUUGUCCAUCUAGACCUCAAUUACUGUUUUUCAGGAAUGUCUGAUCACAGAUACGGGGAUGGUGGCUCUACUUUCCAGAGCACAACAGGACACUGUGUACACAUGCGGGGAUUACCUUACAGAGCUACUGAGAAUGACAUUUAUAAUUUUUUUUCACCGCUCAACCCUGUGAGAGUACACAUUGAAAUUGGUCCUGAUGGCAGAGUAACUGGUGAAGCAGAUGUCGAGUUCGCAACUCAUGAAGAUGCUGUGGCAGCUAUGUCAAAAGACAAAGCAAAUAUGCAACACAGAUAUGUAGAACUCUUCUUGAAUUCUACAGCAGGAGCAAGCGGUGGUGCUUACGAACACAGAUAUGUAGAACUCUUCUUGAAUUCUACAGCAGGAGCAAGCGGUGGUGCUUAUGGUAGCCAAAUGAUGGGAGGCAUGGGCUUGUCAAACCAGUCCAGCUACGGGGGCCCAGCCAGCCAGCAGCUGAGUGGGGGUUACGGAGGUGG
rnacentral:sRNA from 1 species